CCCAUUAUCCGAUUAACUUUGUUCUGCCCUCCACGAUGAUUCCCGGAGCGCUGAUCAUGGAUACAUGUCUGUUGUUAACCCGUAACUGGAUGAUUACAGCACUGUUCGGUGGCGGAGCAUUUGGACUAUUGUUCUACCCGGGUAACUGGCCGAUCUUCGGACCAACUCACCUUCCAUUAGUAGUUGAAGGCGUAUUGCUGUCAUUGGCUGAUUACACUGGAUUCCUUUAUGUUCGUACUGGUACACCUGAGUAUGUUCGGUUAAUUGAACAAGGAUCGCUACGUACCUUCGGUGGUCACACUACGGUAAUUGCUGCAUUCUCUGCGGCUUUUGUAUCAAUGUUAAUGUUCGUUGUCUGGUGGUACCUGGGAAGGUUCUAUUGCACCUCGUUCUAUUACGUCAAAGGUCCUAGAGGACGGAUAACAGAGAAGAAUGAUGUUACCGCUUUUGGC
rnacentral:rRNA from 1 species